CCGUAACAUAACGAUAGAAGCAGGUUUAAUAUUGGUUUAUUUCCACGUAGGUAUAACAAUCCAAUCAAGUACACACGACAGUACAGAAGAUUCAUGUACGGCCCUCAGGCUAUAUCAACGUUAUAAGGAACUCAUGCAGAAAGGUGAACAGGAAUUUCACGGAACUUUGAACAGACUUUAUGAAACUGGACGAAGCCUAGCUUGGCAAGUGGAAGACUGAAUUUAAGAAAUGGGAAUUUCAAUUCCAUUGAAAUGUGAAGAAAUUAACCAUGACUGAUCUGAUGAAAGACUGCUGUGUAUUCCCGGGUGGUACGGACUGGCUUGGUUUACACUGUCAAAGUUUACUGUCGUUCCAAUUGAAGUGUUGGCAGUGUUGCUCAAAUAUUGAUUCAAUACAUUACCUCGGGCUGACCAAUUCAUUUCUCAUCAAGUUCCUCGAGAUAUUCAUACACUUCCUAGUAUAAUUGUAAACUUCCUGUUGAAUAGUUUGAAUGCACCAAUCACCUUUGUUGUUUGUGCAACUAACCAAUCAUAAAUAGAAAGGAAGUGACCAGAAAUGAUCAAAUACUUGGAAUUGGCUCUUUCACAGGAAGUGUAUGAAUAUCUUGAGGAACUUGAUCAAAUGAAUUGGUCAGCCCGAGGUAAUGUAUUGAAUCAAUAUUUCAGCAACACUUCAAUUGGAACGACAGUAAUAACUCCUGAGUCAGUUCCCUCAAAUAUUUCUUACAAAUCCUUCAAAAUUCCUACUGUGAUCACAGAAACUCUGAUAGUGUAAACCAGCCUUUAUACAAAUCAAUGUACAAUCUUAGAAAGCUUGAAAACAUAGCGCUGCAUGGCAUUCGACCAGUACAACCGCCCCUGCAUGUUACAUAAUGGAGAGGUUCAGAUCUGACUUCAAUACCGCUACCAUUAAGGAAUUAUAAACCAAUCAGAUGCAUUUGAACUAUCCGUGAUUGACCAAUCAGAAAGGUACACACGCAAACGUUUCGCAUCUUGUAGCAAGUCUGCCAACAAGUUGUCUUCGCACUGCUUGUCCCAAGUUGUCAACAAGUUUGGAACAAACUGUUAACAACUUGUAACAACCGUGUUGAUAUUAUCAGACUUGUUGCAAGGUUGUUCCAACAAGUCCGAUACAGUCAUGAUAUAACAAUAUUGUUACAACUUUGUGUCAUCAACCUCGUAACAUUCUUGUUAUAUCAUGACUGUAUCAUAGAACAACUUUGCUACAAGUCUGAUAAUGUCAUCAAGCUUGUUUAAUACAAGUUGUUAACAGCUUGUUCCAAACUUGUUACAACAACUGGGAACAAGCAGUGCGAACACAACUUGUUGACAGGUUGUGAACAGAUUUGUAACAACUUGUUUGCAGACCUGUAACACUUGUGCGUUUUUACGUGUGUAGUCACUGUAGUGGUGGCGAUGGAAGUCAAAUCUGAACCUCUCUAAUGAAUCGAAUCAACAUGCAUGAUAUGUAAAUAUAUGACAUAUGUAAAAUAAUUUUGAAUAAAGUUAUUCUCCUAUAAAGUUA